GACAUGUCUUGCUGCUGCAUGAAAUCCUCACAUCGUGCAGAAGGCCAUUUGUCUACAGCCCAUGCUUAUCUUCCCAUCUUUUCCCCUGUACAGAGAGGAGGCUCGACAUCCUCGGAAGAGAGGUGACCUGUCAGGAUCCUGGCCGGGGCCGUACAGAUUCAGAGUCUCCAGGACAACCCUGUCACCUCACAACGCAGCGGCGUUAGGAGCAAUUGUCACCGAUCCCUUAAGCACAUCAAGCAAAUCCCUCUGCUGGUGUAGCUGGUAUCAGUGAGCUGUCCAUCCUUCCCUGAGGUGGCUGCAGGCUACCUUCUUUGAGUUUGCAUCUGAGAAUGAAAACAAGGAACGUUUCUCCUUGGUGGAAACUGACAGAUCCAGCUGGUGCUCUCCUGAAAUAUGUAUGAACUGUGCAGAAUCCAUUUCAUCCUGAGACCUGACUAAUGACAGCAACAACUCAAAUUAUCAUGGCUGCUGUAGGCCACAAGAUGCCCUGUUGUUCUGGGCACCACAGAAAGGCACUAAAGAGAGUUUGCUCCAGAGAGUUUAGUCUAAUUGAACAGAGCAGACAGACAAAGAGUAGGAGAAAGGCAAUAAUAUUAUCCUUCCCCCCUUUCAUAAUAACUGAAAUACUCAGACCAUGAAAUCCUGGCGCUGUGGCAGUCAACAGCAAAAAAUCUGUUAAUGUGAAUAGGGUCAGCAUUCAUACGUGAUUCACAGAGACUGGCUUCAUUAAAAUCAGACCAGACGAGCAAUCUGCCUUUAAAGCCUAUGCACUUAAAUUGCUGAGAUUUUCAGAUCUGACAUUAUGUUAAUAAUCUUUAAAGAAUAGUUAACUGACAAUUCUUCAUUAUGUUUUUGUGAUGUGG